GACGAACGCUGGCGGCGCGCUUAACACAUGCAAGUCGAACGGUGAAGCGCCUUCCUUUUUGGUGGGUGUGGAUGAGUGGCGAACGGGUGAGUAACACGUGAGUAACCUGCCCCCUUCUUCUGGAUAACCGCAUGAAAGUGUGGCUAAUACGGGAUAUUCUGGGUCUGUCGCAUGAUGGGUCUGGGAAAGAUAUUGUUUCGGUGGGGGAUGGGCUCGCGGCCUAUCAGCUUGUUGGUGGGGUGAUGGCCUACCAAGGCGGUGACGGGUAGCCGGCCUGAGAGGGUGGACGGUCACACUGGGACUGAGACACGGCCCAGACUCCUACGGGAGGCAGCAGUGGGGAAUAUUGCACAAUGGGUGCAAGCCUGAUGCAGCGACGCCGCGUGAGGGAUGGAGGCCUUCGGGUUGUGAACCUCUUUCGCCAGUGAAGCAGGCCUGCCUCGUUUGUGGGUGGGUUGACGGUAGCUGGAUAAGAAGCGCCGGCUAACUACGUG
rnacentral:rRNA from 1 species